AGCGAACGCUGGCGGCAGGCCUAACACAUGCAAGUCGAACGAACUCUUCGGAGUUAGUGGCGGACGGGUGAGUAACACGUGGGAACGUGCCCUUUGGUACGGAAUAACUCAGGGAAACUUGAGCUAAUACCGUAUGUGCCCUUCGGGGGAAAGAUUUAUCGCCAUUGGAGCGGCCCGCGUCUGAUUAGCUAGUUGGUGAGGUAAAGGCUCACCAAGGCUACGAUCAGUAGCUGGUCUGAGAGGAUGAUCAGCCACAUUGGGACUGAGACACGGCCCAAACUCCUACGGGAGGCAGCAGUGGGGAAUCUUGCGCAAUGGGCGAAAGCAUGACGCAGCCAUGCCGCGUGAAUGAUGAAGGUCUUAGGAUUGUAAAAUUCUUUCACCGGGGACGAUAAUGACGGUACCCGGAGAAGAAGCCCCGGCUAACUUCGUG
rnacentral:rRNA from 1 species